GCCUUCGCCACGCCCGCUCAAGAACUACGAAAGGAAUUGACGGGGACCCGCACAAGCGGUGGAUUAUGUGGAUUAAUUCGAUGCAACGCGAAAAACCUUACCUACCCUUGACAUGUACGGAACCUCGCAGAGAUGUGAGGGUGCCCGAAAGGGAGCCGGAACACAGGUGCUGCAUGGCUGUCGUCAGCUCGUGUCGUGAGAUGUUGGGUUAAGUCCCGCAACGAGCGCAACCCUUGUCAUUAGUUGCCACCAUUCAGUUGGGCACUCUAAUGAGACUGCCGGUGACAAACCGGAGGAAGGUGGGGAUGACGUCAAGUCCUCAUGGCCCUUAUGGGUAGGGCUUCACACGUCAUACAAUGGUCGGUACAGAGGGUCGCCAACCCGCGAGGGGGAGCCAAUCCCACAAAGCCGAUCGUAGUCCGGAUUGGAGUCUGCAACUCGACUCCAUGAAGUCGGAAUCGCUAGUAAUCGUGGAUCAGCAUGUCACGGUGAAUACGUUCCCGGGUCUU
rnacentral:rRNA from 1 species